ACACUUGAAAGUUUCCAUCGAGAAUAAAUAACCGAAGAAGCGGAGAAAAACAUAAAAGAAGAAAAAUGGAGAGAAAGGGGAGAAGAAAAAUCGAGAGAAAACAGAUAAAUCGAGUGAAAAUAUUGUCGUGUAUGUUGUUGAUUUGGUACCAUUAAUGGAAGAAGAAGAAGACAACUCAGUGUUAGUUGGGUUUUUUUCCCAUCAAAGUUGAAAAAUCAAGAGAAAAAGGCUUCAAUAGAGAUCAGUGGAUCAUCGUCAAAUCGGGGUUGUGAUGGUUCUGUUUUGAUCUUACCAACAGAUGACAAUAAUUCUGAGAGAAACGCAUCUAUCAACCUUUCUUUAGCUGGAGAUGCAUUUGACAUUGUUGAUAAGGCUAAGGCAGCAUUAGAAAAAGAAUGUCCCUGGGUAGUCUCAUGCUCGGAUAUCCUUGCCAUCUUGGCACGUGAUGUCGUACACUGGUGGGAAGGUCCGCACUGGCAGGUUGAGAAAGGAAGAAGAGAUGGACUCAUCUCCAAUGCAACAGAAGCUCAACUACUCAUGCCAAAGUCUGAUGAAAAUAUAACAACUCUCAUCCGUGGAUUCGAAUCGAUUGGACUAUCAACUGUUGAUCUCGUCACAUUAUCUGGGGCACACACAAUAGGUUUUACACACUGUAUAGAAUUUGCUAGUCGUAUCUUUCACAACGACACCACAUUGAACUCUACAAUAAGAGAAAAGGUAAUCCUUAGCUGUCCAUUUCCGAAGAUUGACAGAAAUGUUGCUGAAGCACUUGACCAAACUUCUGAAUUUGUAUUUGAUAAUAAGUUUUAGAAGAGCUUGCGACAACGGAAAGGCUUGCUCUUGACGGACCAUGUAUUGGCUUUUGGUGAAAAUGAUGUCUCUCGUAAAUUAGUGUAUAGGUACUCCGAGGACCAAGAAUUGUUCUUCCAGGAAUUUGCAAAAGCCAUGUUGAAAUUGGGAAGAGUUGGUGUUAAGACUGGGAAUGAGGGAGAAAUUAGAAGGGAUUGUAAGAAAUUUAACUGAUUAGGGUUUUCUGUUGUAUUGGCAAUUACAAUGUCAUCGUGAGCAUAAUAAGAGGGUAAUUUACUGUUUGGUAGGAGCUAAUACAUGUGAAUUUUCCA